CAUAUACUCCCUCCGUCACAAAAUUCUUUUCUUAGGUUUGUUUAGAAAUGGAUGUAUCUAAAUACUAAAAGUGACUAGAUACUUUCAUAUCUAGACAAAUCUAAGACAAUAAUUUUUUGACGGAGGGAGUAUAUA
rfam:Hordeum vulgare subsp. vulgare, WGS project CAJW01000000 data, contig: morex_contig_1586435